rnacentral:rRNA from 1 species
UACGGAGGAUGCGAGCGUUAUCCGGAUUUAUUGGAUUUAAAGGGUGCGUAGGCGGACUGUCAAGUCAGCGGUAAAAUUGAGAGGCUCAACCUCUUCCCGCCGUUGAAACUGGUGGUCUUGAGUGGAUGAGAAGUACGCGGAAUGCGUGGUGUAGCGGUGAAAUGCAUAGAUAUCACGCAGAACUCCGAUUGCGAAGGCAGCGUACCGGCGUCCAACUGACGCUGAGGCACGAAAGCGUGGGGAUCAAACAGG